rnacentral:rRNA from 1 species
UACGGAGGGUCCAAGCGUUAUCCGGAAUCAUUGGGUUUAAAGGGUCCGUAGGCGGUUUUGUAAGUCAGUGGUGAAAGCCCAUCGCUCAACGGUGGAACGGCCAUUGAUACUGCAAGACUUGAAUUAUUAGGAAGUAACUAGAAUAUGUAGUGUAGCGGUGAAAUGCUUAGAUAUUACAUGGAAUACCAAUUGCGAAGGCAGGUUACUACUAAUGGAUUGACGCUGAUGGACGAAAGCGUGGGGAGCGAACAGG